rnacentral:lncRNA from 1 species
ACAUUUUGUAUUUAGUGGGUAGAUAUUUGAAUUAAUAUCAAAGUGCCCACUCUAAUAUAAAUAAAAUAUAAGAAAUUAAAAUGUGAUUUUUCUUCUGAGGAGCAAAUGAACAUGUAAUCCAGGACGAUGUAGAAAUAACAGUAUUUGAGUUUUAUAUCACUGGGUUCUAUUCAUUUAUUUCAGAAAUUCUUAAGGGAGCCCUGUGAAAGCUGAAGGAAUGUUUGUGGAUGGCUAUUUAGUCUUUAACAUCUACAAUACAAUUUCUGAUUCCUGGAGCAUUAUUCGAUGGACAUCACCGUGCCCUGACUUAUUCUUCUCCAUUCUUCUGACUAGGUGACCUCUAAAGUCUCCUUUCCUCUGUAAGUCGUUAUUAGUGUCACUUAUGGGUGAUAUAGUUUAUCUUACUUAAAACAGCAGUUAUAUUAUCGAGUAAGGCUUAUCUAUUUGAAUCCAUUAUACAAAAAUCUAACAUACAAUAGAUAAAUUAUAGUAUACACGGUAUGCCUGAUAAGGUUAUAAAUGCAGUAUUGAAAAUCAAAAUGAGUAAGGUUGGGAGAGGAGGCUCAGUGGGUAAAGUGCUUGCCGUGCAAGCAAAGGACCUGAGUUUGGUGCCCAGCACCCACUUAAAAGCUGGGCACAGUGACACACCUCUGUAUCCCCAGCUGUGGAAGUAAAGGGAGAUAGACAGAUCCUGGCAGCUUGCCGCCAGCCAGUCUAGCCAAAAUGUUGAGAUCAGCUUUAGUGAGAGAGACUUUGUCUUGAAAGUAAAGUGGAGAGGCUAGAGAGAUGGCUCAAUAGUUGUCCUUACAGAGGACCAGGGUUCAACUGCUAGCAUACAUAUGGCAGCUCAUAACCAUCUAUAACCCCAGUUCCAGGGAUCCAGUGCCAUCCAGACAAAUAUUUAGGCAAAAUAUUUAUACACAUAAAUUUAAUUUAUUGAUUAAUUGAUUAUUGAUUAAAAAUAAAGGGGAAAAUAAUGUAGGAAGAUACACAGUGGCUUACAUCCACAUAUACUUGCAUAUCCCCACAUGCACAAUAAGUCUAAAAAUAAGUUCAAAAUAAAAUGUUAAGUAAAUUUUUUUUGAAAAAAAAAAGAAAAUCUAAAUAUAGGUAGGAGUGGUUUGAAAAACAGUAGCCCCCAUAGGCUCAUGUAUUUGCAUGCUUUGUCUUCAGAGAGUGGCACUUCUUGAAAAGGAUUAGGAGGUAUGGCCUGUUGGAGUAGCUAUGGCCUUGUGGAAGAAGUGUGUCAUUGGAGGGUGGGCUUUGAGGUUUCAAUAGCCUAAGCCAGGCCCAAUGUAACUCUCUUCCUGCUGCCUGCAGAUCCACAAAGUAGCACUCUCAGCUACUUCUCCAGCACUAUGUCUGCCUGUCUGCUCCUAAUCCUGACAAUGAUAAACUAAACUUCUAAAACUGUAAGCAAGCGUCAAGCGUUUUCUUUUGUAAGAGUUGCCAUGGUCAUGGUGUCUCUAUUAGAACACUAAGACUCAUGUAUAAAAUUUGUAGGCAAGGGAGGGUAUGGUUGGAAUGGAUACUUGGGUAUUAGUAGUUGCAGUUCUUGAGUUGGACACUGUGAUGGGUGCCUGAGAUCCCCGCAUGUGGGAGGCUAAGGUAGGAGGAUUGCCUUGAGUUGGAGGCCAGCCAACCAGGUCUGAUACCAAGACCUUUGAUUCUUGCUGAUGCAUUACGUGAGUAUCAUUUAAUCCCAUGUGUAAAGCAGAAUCCGAGGUAAGAUCUUGAGGUUUUUUUAUUACUCCCUGUCUUAAUUAGGGUUUCCAUUGUUGUGAAGAGACACUAUGACCAAGGCAACUCUUAUUAUGGACAACAUUUAAUUGGGCCUGGCUUACAGGUUCAGAGUAGUCCAUUAGCAUCAUGACAGGAAGCAUGGCAGUGUCCAGGCAGACAUGGCUCUGGAGGAGCUCAGAGUUCUACAUCUUGUUCCAAAGACAAACAGAAGAAAGCUGCCUUCUAGUCUCCUAGGAGGAAGCUCUUUCAAAGCCCACCCCAAUAAUGACAUACUUCUCCAACAAGACCACACCUCCUAAUAGUGCUACUCCCCAGGCCAAGCAUAUUCUAACCACCAUACACCCAUUCUCCCUAAAAGAAAUUUGGAAAAUUAUACAUUCACUCAAACCUUUCACUUUUUUAAAUUUAUCAUUAUUAGUUUACUCUAUGCCAAGUUAUUUAAUUCCUGGCAUAUUAGCAUACUUGUUUGUUGUGUGACUGUGUCUCUGCACUCACACGUGUGUGUAUAUCUGUGCCUCUGUGCACCUGGAAGCCAGAAGGCACCAUCGUCCUCUGCUACCACUCCCCACCUGUGCUUUGAGCAAGGUCUCUCCCUGAAUCUGGAGCUUGCAUUUUCUGUGCCAGGCUGGGAGCCAGCAUGGCCAGCUAUCCUCCUCUGGAGCUGCAGUUAUAGGUAUGAGGGAGACCAGGCUUGUGAUGUGGGUGCUAGGACCCACAUUCCAGGUCUAGUGGUUAUGAAGCAAGCACUGUUAGCCGCAGAGCCAUCCCUCCUGCCCCCAUACUAACAUUUUAAAAUAAAAUAUUUAUGAAAUAUACCCUACAAGACCUACCUUUCAGAAGAGGGAAAGAAGGUUGAUUGCCACAGACUGGAGGAAGGGCAAACGAGGAACUGUUUGAUGGGUGUGUAUUUCCAGCUUUACAAGAUGAAAAGAUUCUUAAGUUGUCUGUACAAUGAUGUAUGUGUGCUUACCACAUUUAAUAUGAUUAACACAGUAAACACACAUGUAUAUUGCCACAUUAAAAAAUUCAAAGUAAAUUUUGAAGGUAAAGCUUGUGUUUAACAGUCAGAAUUUUAUAUUAGUUCUAGUUUUUAUUUCUAUUCCUCCCCAUGAAAUUUUAAUCUAAUUUACUAUACUACUACUUUGAUCAUAUUUUAUUGGCUUUUGCCAAAUCACAUAUUUGUAACAAAUGUGUACAUAUAAGUUUAAAUUUGAGACAGUUUUCCCCUGUGAUCUCACAGCACCAAGUAGUUAGUAAUUAAUUUAAAAAGCUCUGAGGUUGAGUGGUGGAUGUAGCUCAGUUGGUAGAGCAUCUGCCUAGCAUGCAUUAAGCCCUGGGUUCUAGUCUUCCAUAAGCAUGUGUUACACACUGGAGGUGGGACACAGGGACAUCAGGAGCUCAAUGUCAUCCUGGGUUCCAUAAGACGUUCAGGAGCAGCUUAGGAUGCGUGAGCCCCUGUCUCCAGUACAGAAACAUUGUGAUUGCACCACUACUGCUGAAUGCAACCUAAAGGUUUAGGUUGUUCAUGAAAAUAGAUGUGAUGGUUGAUUUGGAUUGCUAACUUGAUAAGAUUUGGAAUCCUAGAAUUUGGAAGAAUUUAGAAUCACCUCAGAGCUAUACCUUGGAUGUAUCUAUCAGGAUGUUUCCAGAGACUUUUAACUGAAAGGGGUGAACUCCCCCCAGAUGUGGGCAGCGCAUGGACUGAUGUGCCAGACUAGAUU